rnacentral:rRNA from 1 species
CACGUAGUUAGCCGGUGCUUAUUCUUCCGGUACCGUCAUCCGCCACGGGUAUUAACCACGGCGUUUUCUUUCCGGACAAAAGUGCUUUACAACCCGAAGGCCUUCUUCACACACGCGGCAUUGCUGGAUCAGGCUUUCGCCCAUUGUCCAAAAAUUCCCCACUGCUGCCUCCCGUAGGAGUCUGGGCCGUGUCUCAGUCCCAGUGUGGCUGGUCGUCCUCUCAGACCAGCUACAGAUCGUCGCCUUGGUAGGCCUUUACCCCACCAACUAGCUAAUCUGCCAUCGGCCGCCCCUGUAGCGGGAGGUCCUAAGACUCCCCCCUUUCUCCGUAGAGCGUAUGCGGUAUUAAUCCGGCUUUCGCCGGGCUAUCCCCCAUACAGGACACGUUCCGAUGUAUUACUCACCCGUUCGCCACUCGCCACCAGGGGUUCGCCCCCGUGCUGCCGUUCGACUUGCAUGUGUAAGCAGUGCCGCCAGCGUUCAAUUCUGAAGCCAGGAUCAAAACUCU